AGGGACACGACACCCCGGAGGAUCUACAACAUGAAGGAUUCCAGAAGAAACCAAUAAAAAAGGAAGAAGAUGAAGAUGAGGACGAUGAUUUCUUCUGUGAAGUCACUUUAAUCCCUGUGGAACAAGUCAUGGAACUCUUCUCCUCAGUGGACCAACAGUGUGGAGGUUUCCAGAUGAAGCCUGUGAAGAAGAAAGAACCUGAAGAUACAGAUGAACUCAAAAUGAACAACCAUUUCCACGAUCACAUGAAGAGCUGCAGUGAUGUUAAAUAUGAUGCGCUGGUGAAGAUCAAGACUG